AGAACCUCUGCAGCUGUUCUCUGGCUACUAGAGAGUGGAGGAAAGGCCUAGAGGCAGACAGAGUAUGCUCGGGGGGCUGUGAGAAAGGACCUGAAGGAAAGGUAAGGUACAAAGUCCAGUGAGGCAGCAGACCAUAGCUGCUUGCCAUAAGAUCUCUGGACUGGAACCCAGAAGAGGUGGAGGACCUGGGUUCCCCUCCCAGUCCUCCAGGAAAGAUGGUAUGGAAACACCUAGACACAAAAAGGAGAAUGAACUAUUAUUUGGAGCCAAGCCUCCAGGAAGAAAGUCCUCAGACACGUUGCGCUGCACAAGAGCAGGACAAUCUUGCAGAGCCUGGAAGGUGUGAGACUGAAGGAGAAUAAUCAUAAUAAUCAUCACCUGCCACAAGUGGAUGAACUGUUGACCAAGGGUGUGCAAUACCAAGAAAUCUUAUAGUACAGAGACAACUAGAAAAUCAGAGGAAUCGUGUCUGCUUCUGAGCUUACCUGCACAAUAGCUGCACCAACUCCUCCAUUGAGCCAAACCCAGUGGAUAGUAGGAAUGACUCCAUAUCCAGAGACGGAGC